AGCCUAAGUCAGACGCCCAACCGACUGAGCCACCCAGGCGCACCCGAGAGAUGCUAUCUUCUAAGGAAGGGAGUUCUACAGAGAUUCUAUCACAAAACAGCUAAUCACUCCCUGGGAAUUGUGCACGGAAUUCUGUAACAGGCAAGAGCUAGGUGAGGUGCCCUCUAGGGUUCUUUCCCAGGUCAGGGAGGCUGUAAUUCAACUAGCUACCUAAGUGCAGCAUUUUGCACAACAACAUCAAGAACAGCCAUGGCGAGGUGUAAGGCACAUACAGGAGCACACAGAUUGUGCUUAUGUGUGAACUGUAACCUUCUAAAACAAAAGAAUUUCAUGCCACAUUGAAAAAAAGACUUUUUUGACGGCUAGAAAUGAAAAUGUUCAUCCUUUAGACUAGCGUAUCAUAUUUAAUAGGUUCAUGCUGUAGACACAGGGGCCAAAAGAAAUGAACCAAGAUCGUAGGCAUUAAGUUACACUUUAAUUUUAUCUUUUUUUCUCCUGUGAUUUUGACACCAGUGAUUAAAAAUGAACCUGGACCUUUGACCUACUCCUUUGGGGUUUCUUUCCCCCCCUCCCCCCCCAUUCACCUGCAAACCUUUGCUGAUCUUUGCAUAGAGCUUUGGUCAACUGCUUUUAACAGCUAAACAUUAAAGCCACUGAGAGCAUAAACAGGAAGCUGGUGUUUAGGUGGGAGUUCCUAGGAAUUUCAUACUACUGACCACAGAGGCCAAGAGAGAAAGGAAAUAGGAAAAACAGUGUAAAUACCUGGGUGACUAAUGACUUUGCGCAGCUUAGCUGGCUUUUCUGAACAUUUAAGUCUCUUCUGGGGGAAACACCCUGAAAAAUUUUCAGGACCCUGCGUGACAUCGAAGGGGCAGAUGUAUGAGUGUUUACUGCAGGCGGUUGGUUUUGUUCACCGACUACCGGGCAGAGAGAUUUUCUGCCGAUCUCUCCAAGCGAUGGACUCCAUUUGCAUGCGUGGUGCAGACAUUUUGCCGAGCACCGGGGUUCCCAGGCCUCCGAUUGUAAAGGAUUGUUAAGGCCACCCCUUCCCUCGUUCACAUGGAUAGCGCCUAAGAGGAUUUAGAAUCAAGUGGGCACAUUUGCACGGCCUUGUUCUGAAGAGGCAGCUGGAGCGCGGGCCGGCCGGUCUGGCGCAGCCAACCGCGGGUCCCGGGGGACCGCAUUGUCCUCCAAGGGGCCGCCACGGGGGCUCCAUUGUGCGCGGAGCAGCCCUUUUUCUCCUGCCCUCUGUCUCCCCCGGGCCUCCUCCCCCGCCCCCCCACGCAGACUUUUCUCUCAAGCUGCCCGGAUCCCCCUGCUGCCGCAUUUCCAAUGCAGAGGAGCGGGCAGGGCUUCGGGCUGGCCAUCUGCACGCGGAGAUUGACAGCGGCCCCGGAAGGUUGAAAAGGAAGACAGGAGUUUCUGGAUGUACCUGUCAAGACUAAAUGAUUGUUCAUUUCCUGUGAAUUGGGAAUAACAGAACUGCCUUUUCUGACGUCUACCAAACACAAGAUGAUGAGGAUGACAAUAAUAAAAAAUAUCAAUGCUGCUGAAGCUCCUUGAGGACUCUUCAGAAUGACACAGCACUUACACAUCCAUUAGGUCAUUUCUUUUCCCUCUUCUCUCUCUUAGUGCUUUGAGGCCAGCAGUGAGAGCAUCGUCACUCCAUCUCACAGUUCACUUAUUUAUUUUGAGAGACAGAGAGAGCGAACAAGAGAGGGGCA